rnacentral:rRNA from 1 species
GACGAACGCUGGCGGCGUGCCUAAUACAUGCAAGUUGAGCGCUGAAGGUUGGUACUUGUACCAACUGGAUGAGCAGCGAACGGGUGAGUAACGCGUGGGGAAUCUGCCUUUGAGCGGGGGACAACAUUUGGAAACGAAUGCUAAUACCGCAUAAAAACUUUAAACACAAGAUUUAAGUUUGAAAGAUGCAAUUGCAUCACUCAAAGAUGAUCCCGCGUUGUAUUAGCUAGUUGGUGAGGUAAAGGCUCACCAAGGCGAUGAUACAUAGCCGACCUGAGAGGGUGAUCGGCCACAUUGGGACUGAGACACGGCCCAAACUCCUACGGGAGGCAGCAGUAGGGAAUCUUCGGCAAUGGACGAAAGUCUGACCGAGCAACGCCGCGUGAGUGAAGAAGGUUUUCGGAUCGUAAAACUCUGUUGGUAGAGAAGAACGUUGGUGAGAGUGGAAAGCUCAUCAAGUGACGGUAACUACCCAGAAAGGGACGGCUAACUACGUG